UGGGGAAUUGUUCGCAAUGGGCGCAAGCCUGACGACGCAACGCCGCGUGGAGGAUGAAGAUCUUCGGGUCGUAAACUCCUUUCGAUCGAGACGAAUUUUCUUGGGGUGAAUAAUCCCGAGAAGUGACGGUACCGAGAGAAGAAGCCCCGGCUAACUCCGUGCCAGCAGCCGCGGUAAUACGGGGGGGGCAAGCGUUGUUCGGAAUUACUGGGCGUAAAGGGCUCGUAGGUGGCCAACUAAGUCGGACGUGAAAUCCCUCGGCUUAACCGGGGAACUGCGUCCGAUACUGGAUGGCUUGAGUUUGGGAGAGGGAUGCGGAAUUCCAGGUGUAGCGGUGAAAUGCGUAGAUAUCUGGAGGAACACCGGUGGCGAAGGCGGCAUCCUGGACCAACACUGACACUGAGGAGCGAAAGCCAGGGGAGCAAAC
rnacentral:rRNA from 1 species